rnacentral:rRNA from 1 species
CGAGCGGACAGAUGGGAGCUUGCUCCCUGAUGUUAGCGGCGGACGGGUGAGUAACACGUGGGUAACCUGCCUGUAAGACUGGGAUAACUCCGGGAAACCGGGGCUAAUACCGGAUGCUUGUUUGAACCGCAUGGUUCAAACAUAAAAGGUGGCUUCGGCUACCACUUACAGAUGGACCCGCGGCGCAUUAGCUAGUUGGUGAGGUAAUGGCUCACCAAGGCAACGAUGCGUAGCCGACCUGAGAGGGUGAUCGGCCACACUGGGACUGAGACACGGCCCAGACUCCUACGGGAGGCAGCAGUAGGGAAUCUUCCGCAAUGGACGAAAGUCUGACGGAGCAACGCCGCGUGAGUGAUGAAGGUUUUCGGAUCGUAAAGCUCUGUUGUUAGGGAAGAACAAGUACCGUUCGAAUAGGGCGGUACCUUGACGGUACCUAACCAGAAAGCCACGGCUAACUACGUGCCAGCAGCCGCGGUAAUACGUAGGUGGCAAGCGUUGUCCGGAAUUAUUGGGCGUAAAGGGCUCGCAGGCGGUUCCUUAAGUCUGAUGUGAAAGCCCCCGGCUCAACCGGGGAGGGUCAUUGGAAACUGGGGAACUUGAGUGCAGAAGAGGAGAGUGGAAUUCCACGUGUAGCGGUGAAAUGCGUAGAGAUGUGGAGGAACACCAGUGGCGAAAGGCGACUCUCUGGUCUGUAACUGACGCUGAGGAGCGAAAGCGUGGGGAGCGAACAGGAUUAGAUACCCUGGUAGUCCACGCCGUAAACGAUGAGUGCUAAGUGUUAGGGGGUUUCCGCCCCUUAGUGCUGCAGCUAACGCAUUAGCACCUCCGCCUGGGGAGUACGGUCGCAGACUGAAACCUCAAAGGAUUGACGGGGGCCGCACAGGCGGGUGGGAGCAUGGUGGAUUAUCCGAGCAUCGGGAAGAUCUAA